UACGUAGGGCGCGAGCGUUGUCCGGAUUUAUUGGGCGUAAAGGGCUCGUAGGCGGCCAACUAAGUCGGAUGUGAAAUCCCCAGGCUUAACCUGGGAACUGCAUCCGAUACUGGAUGGCUUGAAUCCGGGAGAGGGAUGCAGAAUUCCAGGUGUAGCGGUGAAAUGCGUAGAUAUCUGGAGGAAUACCGGUGGCGAAGGCGGCAUCCUGGACCGGCAUUGACGCUGAUGAGCGAAAGCUAGGGGAGCAAACGGG
rnacentral:rRNA from 1 species